rnacentral:rRNA from 1 species
UACGUAGGGACCAAGCGUUGUUCGGAUUUACUGGGCGUAAAGGGCGCGUAGGCGGCGCGGUAAGUCACUUGUGAAAUCUCUGAGCUUAACUCAGAACGGCCAAGUGAUACUGCAGUGCUAGAGUGUGGAAGGGGCAAUCGGAAUUCUUGGUGUAGCGGUGAAAUGCGUAGAUAUCAAGAGGAACACCUGAGGUGAAGACGGGUUGCUGGGCUGACACGUGACGCUGAGGCGCGAAAGCCAGGGGAGCAAACGGG